rnacentral:rRNA from 1 species
GACGAACGCUGGCGGCGUGCUUAACACAUGCAAGUCGAACGGUGAAGCGCCUUCCUUUUUGGUGGGUGUGGAUGAGUGGCGAACGGGUGAGUAACACGUGAGUAACCUGCCCCCUUCUUCUGGAUAACCGCAUGAAAGUGUGGCUAAUACGGGAUAUUCUGGGUCUGUCGCAUGAUGGGUCUGGGAAAGAUAUUGUUUCGGUGGGGGAUGGGCUCGCGGCCUAUCAGCUUGUUGGUGGGGUGAUGGCCUACCAAGGCGGUGACGGGUAGCCGGCCUGAGAGGGUGGACGGUCACACUGGGGCUGAGACACGGCCCAGACUCCUACGGGAGGCAGCAGUGGGGAAUAUUGGACAAUGGGCGCAAGCCUGAUGCAGCGACGCCGCGUGAGGGAUGGAGGCCUUCGGGUUGUGAACCUCUUUCGCCAGUGAAGCAGGCCUGCCUCGUUUGUGGGUGGGUUGACGGUAGCUGGAUAAGAAGCGCCGGCUAACUACGUG